UACGUAGGGGGCUAGCGUUGUCCGGAUUUAUUGGGCGUAAAGCGCGCGUAGGCGGCUUUGUAAGUUAGAGGUGAAAGCCCGGGGCUCAACCCCGGAACUGCCUUUAAAACUGCAUCGCUUGAAUCCGGGAGAGGUGAGUGGAAUUCCGAGUGUAGAGGUGAAAUUCGUAGAUAUUCGGAAGAACACCAGUGGGCGAAAGGCGG
rnacentral:rRNA from 1 species